rnacentral:rRNA from 1 species
ACGGGGUGCAGCAGGCGCGAAAACUUUGCAAUGUGCGAAAGCACGACAAGGUUAAUCCGAGUGGUUUCUGCUAAAGAAACCUUUUGUCAGUCCUAGAAACACUAACGAAUAAGGGGUGGGCAAGUUCUGGUGUCAGCCGCCGCGGUAAAACCAGCACCUCAAGUGGUCAGGAUGAUUAUUGGGCCUAAAGCAUCCGUAGCUCGUUUUGUAAGUUUUCGGUUAAAUCCAUGCGCUUAACGUAUGGGCUGCCGGGAAUACUGCAUAACUAGGAAGUGGGAGAGGUAGACGGUACUCGGUAGGAAGGGGUAAAAUCCUUUGAUCUAUUGAUGACCACCUGUGGCGAAGGCGGUCUACCAGAACACGUUCGACGGUGAGGGAUGAAAGCUGGGGGAGCAAACCGGAUUAGAUACCCGGGUAGUCCCAGCUGUAAACUAUGCAAACUCAGUGAUGCAUUGGCUUGUGGCCAAUGCAGUGCUGCAGGGAAGCCGUUAAGUUUGCCGCCUGGGAAGUACGUACGCAAGUAUGAAACUUAAAGGAAUUGGCGGGGGAGCAC